rnacentral:rRNA from 1 species
GCAUUGGGUUCUUAGAUUGUACCCACGUUACUUGGAUAACUGUGGUAAUUCUAGAGCUAAUACAUGCCGACAGAGUUCCAACCAAUUGUACAGCCUCGGCUGUGCGAUAAGGAAGGAACGCUUUUAUUAGAUCAAAACCGGCUAAGCGGCGGUCGUCGCACUCUUCGGAUGUGUGGCCGUCGUUAGUGGCCUGCGCAAAGAUUUGGUGACUCUGAAUAACUUCGAGCUGAUCGCACGGUCUCGUACCGGCGACGUAUCUUUCAAAUGUCUGCCUUAUCAACUGUCGACGGUAGGUUCGACGCCUACCGUGGUGGUAACGGGUAACGGGGAAUCAGGGUUCGAUUCCGGAGAGGGAGCCUGAGAAACGGCUACCACAUCCAAGGAAGGCAGCAGGCGCGCAAAUUACCCACUCCCAGCUCGGGGAGGUAGUGACGAAAAAUAACGAUACGGGACUCAUUUGAGGCCCCGUAAUCGGAAUGAAUACACUUAA